rnacentral:rRNA from 1 species
UACGGAGGGGACUAGCGUUGUUCGGAAUUACUGGGCGUAAAGCGUACGUAGGCGGAUCAGAAAGUAAGGGGUGAAAUCCCGGGGCUCAACCCCGGAACUGCCUCUUAAACUCCUGGUCUUGAGUUCGAGAGAGGUGAGUGGAAUUCCGAGUGUAGAGGUGAAAUUCGUAGAUAUUCGGAGGAACACCAGUGGCGAAGGCGGCUCACUGGCUCGAUACUGACGCUGAGGUACGAAAGUGUGGGGAGCAAAC